UACGAAGGGGGCUAGCGUUGCUCGGAAUCACUGGGCGUAAAGCGCACGUAGGCGGAUUGUUAAGUCAGGGGUGAAAUCCUGGAGCUCAACUCCAGAACUGCCUUUGAUACUGGCGAUCUCGAGUCCGGGAGAGGUGAGUGGAACUGCGAGUGUAGAGGUGAAAUUCGUAGAUAUUCGCAAGAACACCAGUGGCGAAGGCGGCUCACUGGCCCGGUAUGACGCUGAGGUGCGAAAGCGUGGGGAGCAAACAGGAGUAGAA
rnacentral:rRNA from 1 species